AGAGAGAUCGAGGAAGAUAAUCCCAUGUUUGAACAACCAUCAGUAGGAACUGAAGAGGGACAGCAGGCUUCUAAUUCCCCAGGCAUAACCAUGUUACCAGGAACGCCAGCAAAGGAGACCAAACAGAAGGUCUGUUAUAGGUGACAACACUCCACCCAAAGAGGGCAGAGCGCAGUAACUGACCAAAGCCUCAGUAUACCAAGCUCACCGAUUACCAUCAAAAACCACCACCGGUUAACCUGCUUCACCAGGACAUUCUGUAGGCCCAGUGCCAACUAUUAGAGCUGAGCAAAGGCCAAAAGUUAGAGGCAUACAUAUCUGCACCUUUGCCUACCCACAUCAAAAGGAUGCUCCCAGCAGAGCUGAGACUGGAAUCCAGACAUCACAAAGGUUGUCUGAAGUGGACAAGGGAAACAUCCCUGUGAAAUUCAGAGCAGAUUCAUCUUCCUCAGAGGAACUGCCUGCCCUGGAAGAGCCUGCUUCUCUCAAGAGGAUUUAUACAAUCGUGGUGACAACUUUCACCUCAGACUUUGCUGGCCUUGUGGGGAUAGAAUCACAACCAGGGCCAGGACACCAGAGGCAGUGCAAUCGCCACAAGAGGCCUAUG
rnacentral:lncRNA from 1 species